rnacentral:lncRNA from 1 species
CACAGAAGUUGAACUGGGGCAUUUAUCAAAGUUUUGGUUAUUCUAAGUGAAUUCAGAUGUCUCCCUCUUUCCAUAAGGUCCCUAUAACCAAAUACUGUGACACGAUUAGAUCUCAAAACGGUAAGAUCUUGGGUCUGCUGGACCUGGAAGUUGCUAGUCUGGGGGAUGAACAGAGCAUGAGGUGGCUGGAUCUGGGAACAGCAAGAUCAUCACACAACAAUGCUGCUAGUCUUCAAAACGGU